CACGGGAGCUUGCUCCUGGUGGCGAGUGGCGAACGGGUGAGUAAUGCAUCGGAACGUGCCCUGAAGUGGGGGAUAACGUAGCGAAAGUUACGCUAAUACCGCAUAUUCUGUGAGCAGGAAAGCAGGGGAUCUUCGGACCUUGCGCUUUUGGAGCGGCCGAUGUCGGAUUAGCUAGUUGGUGGGGUAAAGGCUCACCAAGGCAACGAUCCGUAGCGGGUCUGAGAGGAUGAUCCGCCACACUGGAACUGAGACACGGUCCAGACUCCUACGGGAGGCAGCAGUGGGGAAUUUUGGACAAUGGGCGCAAGCCUGAUCCAGCCAUGCCGCGUGAGUGAAGAAGGCCUUCGGGUUGUAAAGCUCUUUCGGUUGGGAAGAAAUUGCUUGGGUUAAUACCCUGAGUAGAUGACGGUACCAGCAUAAGAAGCACCGGCUAACUACGUGCCAGCAGCCGCGGUAAUACGUAGGGUGCGAGCGUUAAUCGGAAUUACUGGGCGUAAAGCGUGCGCAGGCGGUUUUGUAAGUCAGAUGUGAAAUCCCCGGGCUCAACCUGGGAACUGCAUUUGAGACUGCAAGGCUAGAGUGUGGCAGAGGGGGGUAGAAUUCCACGUGUAGCAGUGAAAUGCGUAGAGAUGUGGAGGAAUACCGAUGGCGAAGGCAGCCCCCUGGGUCACUACUGACGCUCAUGCACGAAAGCGU
rnacentral:rRNA from 1 species